UUUUGACCGUGCAAAGGUAGCGCAAUCACUUGUCUCUUAAAUGGAGACCUGUAUGAAUGGCUAGACGAGGGCUUAACUGUCUCCCCCUUCCAGUCAGUGAAAUUGAUCUACCCGUGCAGAAGCGGGUAUAAUUAUACAAGACGAGAAGACCCUUUGGAGCUUAAGGUACAAAAUUCAGCCACGUUAAACGACUCCACAGAAAGCACGAACUUAGUGGCGGAUGAAAUUUUACCUUCGGUUGGGGCGACCACGGAGGAAAAAUAAGCCUCCGAGUGGACUGGGAUAGACCCCUAAAGCCAAUAGAUACAUCUAUAAGCCGCAGAACAUCUGACCAAAAAUGAUCCGACUGAAAAGCCGAUCAACGAACCAAGUUACCCUAGGGGAUAACAGCGCAAUCCUCUCCCAGAGUCCAUAUCGACGAGGGG
rnacentral:rRNA from 1 species